rnacentral:rRNA from 1 species
GAGUUUGAUCGUGGCUCAGAUUGAACGCUGGCGGCAGGCCUAACACAUGCAAGUCGAGCGGUAGAGAGAAGCUUGCUUCUCUUGAGAGCGGCGGACGGGUGAGUAAUGCCUAGGAAUCUGCCUGGUAGUGGGGGAUAACGCUCGGAAACGGACGCUAAUACCGCAUACGUCCUACGGGAGAAAGCAGGGGACCUUCGGGCCUUGCGCUAUCAGAUGAGCCUAGGUCGGAUUAGCUAGUUGGUGAGGUAAUGGCUCACCAAGGCGACGAUCCGUAACUGGUCUGAGAGGAUGAUCAGUCACACUGGAACUGAGACACGGUCCAGACUCCUACGGAGGCAGCAGUGGGGAAUAUUGGACAAUGGGCGAAAGCCUGAUCCAGCCAUGCCGCGUGUGUGAAGAAGGUCUUCGGAUUGUAAAGCACUUUAAGUUGGGAGGAAGGGCAGUAAAUUAAUACUUUGCUGUUUUGACGUUACCGACAGAAUAAGCACCGGCUAACUCUGUGCCAGCCGCCG